GAUGAACGCUGGCGGCGUGCCUAAUACAUGCAAGUCGAGCGAACAGACGAGGAGCUUGCUCCUCUGACGUUAGCGGCGGACGGGUGAGUAACACGUGGAUAACCUACCUAUAAGACUGGGAUAACUUCGGGAAACCGGAGCUAAUACCGGAUAAUAUAUUGAACCGCAUGGUUCAAUAGUGAAAGACGGUUUUGCUGCCACUUAUAGAUGGAUCCGCGCCGCAUUAGCUAGUUGGUAAGGUAACGGCUUACCAAGGCAACGAUGCGUAGCCGACCUGAGAGGGUGAUCGGCCACACUGGAACUGAGACACGGUCCAGACUCCUACGGGAGGCAGCAGUAGGGAAUCUUCCGCAAUGGGCGAAAGCCUGACGGAGCAACGCCGCGUGAGUGAUGAAGUUCUUCGGAUCGUAAAACUCUGUUAUUAGGGAAGAACAAAUGUGUAAGUAACUAUGCACGUCUUGACGGUACCUAAUCAGAAAGCCACGGCUAACUACGUG
rnacentral:rRNA from 1 species